AAGCUAGAAAGAGGGGUUGAGAGUUACUUGCCCUUGUUAGUGUGUCGUGCUGCGAUGUGUCGUCCCAUGGUCCAACGUUACUACCAUUCUUGUUUUCAAACGUGAACACACCGCUUUCAUUGGACUGUGUGACCGUUACUGUCAAGUGACCUAUGUAAACAUGCCCCGAGUGUGUAGUCAUAUUCUACAUAUAUAGACAUCUACAUUUCGGAGACUUUAAAAAGUGUGUUUGAACUUGACAAAGUUUUUUCGAAAUCUACGGACUUAUUAACACAGCACUACUUGGGUGAAGCUUGUAUAACAUUUGGAUUACACUUGAACCAUUCCAGUUUUCAACUUCAUUCCUGAAUCGGAUUUACUUGACCAUUCCACUCA
rnacentral:sRNA from 1 species